UACGGGGGGGCAAGCGUUGUUCGGAAUUACUGGGCGUAAAGGGCUCGUAGGCGGCCAACUAAGUCAGACGUGAAAUCCCUCGGCUUAACCGGGGGAACUGCGUCUGAUACUGGAUGCUCGAGUUUGGGAGAGGGAUGCGGAAUUCCAGGUGUAGCGGUGAAAUGCGUAGAUAUCUGGAGGAACACCGGUGGCGAAGGCGGCAUCCUGGACCAACACUGACGCUGAUGAGCGAAAGCGUGGGGAGCGAACAGG
rnacentral:rRNA from 1 species